AGUGGCAGACGGGUGAGUAACGCGUGGGAAUCUACCCUAUGGUGGGGGAUAACUUUGGGAAACUAAAGCUAAUACCGCAUAAGCUCGAAGGAGGAAAGAUUUAUUGCCAUAGGAAGAGCCCGCGUAAGAUUAGGUAGUUGGUGAGGUAAAGGCUCACCAAGCCUGUGAUCUUUAGCUGGUCUGAGAGGAUGAUCAGCCACACUGGGACUGAGACACGGCCCAGACUCCUACGGGAGGCAGCAGUGGGGAAUAUUGGACAAUGGGGGAAACCCUGAUCCAGCGAUGCCGCGUGAAUGAAGAAGGCCUUAGGGUUGUAAAGUUCUUUCACCCACGACGAUGAUGACGGUAGUGGGAGAAGAAGCCCCGGCUAACUCCGUGCCAGCAGCCGCGGUAAUACGGAGGGGGCUAGCGUUGUUCGGAAUGACUGGGCGUAAAGGGCGCGUAGGCGGUUUAUCAAGUGAGGCGUGAAAGCCCCGGGCUUAACCUGGGAAUUGCGUUUCAUACUAGUAGACUUGAGGACGAGAGAGGAAAGUGGAAUUCCUAGUGUAGAGGUGAAAUUCGUAGAUAUUAGGAAGAACACCAGUGGCGAAGGCGACUUUCUGGCUCGUAUCUGACGCUGAGCGCGGAAGCGUGGGGAGCAAACAGAUAGAUACCCUGUUAGUCCACGCUGU
rnacentral:rRNA from 1 species